rnacentral:snRNA from 1 species
ACUACCAGGUUCUCGUCAUGCCACACAAAUCUUUUGCCUUUUAAUAAAGAUUCCUGUGGAGAGGAACCUUCUGAGUGCGAAUUUUCUUUGGUGUCCUCCACUUUGCAGGGUC